CCUACGGGAGGCAGCAGUGGGGAAUAUUGCACAAUGGGGGAGACACUGAUGCAGCCACGCCGCGUGAGUGAGGAAGUAUCUCGGUAUGUAAAGCUCUAUCAGCAGGGGAGAAAAGAACGGUACGUGUCUAAGAAUCACCGGCUAACUACGUGCCAGCAGCCGUGGUAAUACGGAGGGGGCGAGCGUUAUCCGGAUUUACUGGGUGUAAGGGGAGCGUAGGCGGUGAUGCAAGUCAGAAGUGAAAGCCCGGGGCUCAACUCCGGGACUGCUGUUGAAACUGUGUAUCUGGAGUGCAGGAGAGGUAAGCGGAAUGCCUGGUGUAGCGGUGAAAUGCGUAGAUAUCAGGAGGAACACCAGUGGCGAAGGCAGCUUACUGGACUGUAACUGACGUUGAGGCUCGAAAGCGUGGGGAGCAAACAGGAUUAGAUACCCCAGUAGUC
rnacentral:rRNA from 1 species